AGAGUUUGAUCCUGGCUCAGAACGAACGCUGGCGGCAGGCUUAACACAUGCAAGUCGAACGGUUGUAGCAAUACAGCAGUGGCAGACGGGUGAGUAACACGUGGGAACCUUCCUAGGGGUACGGAACAACUCAGGGAAACUUGAGCUAAUACCGUAUACGUCCGUGAGGAGAAAGUUUUAACGCCCCUAGACGGGCCCGCGUAGGAUUAGGUAGUUGGUGAGGUAACGGCUCACCAAGCCUACGAUCCUUAGCUGAUCUGAGAGGAUGAUCAGCCACACUGGGACUGAGACACGGCCCAGACUCCUACGGGAGGCAGCAGUGGGGAAUCUUGGACAAUGGGCGCAAGCCUGAUCCAGCCAUGCCGCGUGAGUGAAGAAGGCCUUCGGGUUGUAAAGCUCUUUUACCAGGGACGAUAAUGACGGUACCUGAGAAAUAG
rnacentral:rRNA from 1 species